UACGUAGGGUCCGAGCGUUGUCCGGAAUUACUGGGCGUAAAGAGCUCGUAGGUGGUUUGUCGCGUUGUUCGUGAAAACUCACAGCUCAACUGUGGGCGUGCGGGCGAUACGGGCAGACUUGAGUACUGCAGGGGAGACUGGAAUUCCUGGUGUAGCGGUGGAAUGCGCAGAUAUCAGGAGGGAACACCGGUGGCGAAGGCGGGUCUCUGGGCAGUAA
rnacentral:rRNA from 1 species